GUAGGUGGCAAGCGUUGUCCGGAAUUAUUGGGCGUAAAGCGCGCGCAGGCGGUCCUUUAAGUCUGAUGUGAAAGCCCACGGCUCAACCGUGGAGGGUCAUUGGAAACUGGGGGACUUGAGUACAGAAGAGGAAAGCGGAAUUCCAAGUGUAGCGGUGAAAUGCGUAGAGAUUUGGAGGAACACCAGUGGCGAAGGCGGCUUUCUGGUCUGUAACUGACGCUGAGGCGCGAAAGCGUGGGGAGCAAACAGGAUUAGAUACCCUGGUAGUCCACGCCGUAAACGAUGAGUGCUAAGUGUUAGGGGGUUUCCCGCCCCCUUAGUGCUGCAGCUAACGCAUUAAGCACCCCGCCUGGGGGAGUACGGCCGCAAGGCUG
rnacentral:rRNA from 1 species